rnacentral:rRNA from 1 species
CCUACGGGGGGCUGCAGUGGGGAAUCUUGGACAAUGGGCGCAAGCCUGAUCCAGCCAUGCCGCGUGAGUGAAGAAGGCCUUAGGGUUGUAAAACUCUUUCGCCGGUGAAGAUAAUGACGGUAACCGGAGAAGAAGCCCCGGCUAACUUCGUGCCAGCAGCCGCGGUAAUACGAAGGGGGCUAGCGUUGUUCGGAAUUACUGGGCGUAAAGCGCACGUAGGCGGGUUUGUAAGUAGGGGGUGAAAUCCCAGGGCUCAACCCUGGAACUGCCUUCUAAACUGCAAGCCUGGAGGUCAGGAGAGGCGAGUGGAAUACCGAGUGUAGAGGUGAAAUUCGUAGAUAUUCGGUGGAACACCAGUGGCGAAGGCGACUCGCUGGACUGAUACUGACGCUGAGGUGCGAAAGCGUGGGGAGCAAACAGGAUUAGAUACCCCUGUAGUC